rnacentral:rRNA from 1 species
GCGACGACGGGUAGCCGGCCUGAGAGGGUGACCGGCCACACUGGGACUGAGACACGGCCCAGACUCCUACGGGAGGCAGCAGUGGGGAAUAUUGCACAAUGGGCGCAAGCCUGAUGCAGCGACGCCGCGUGAGGGAUGACGGCCUUCGGGUUGUAAACCUCUUUCAGCAGGGAAGAAGCCACAAGUGACGGUACCUGCAGAAGAAGCGCCGGCUAACUACGUGCCAGCAGCCGCGGUAAUACGUAGGGCGCAAGCGUUGUCCGGAAUUAUUGGGCGUAAAGAGCUCGUAGGCGGUUUGUCGCGUCUGCUGUGAAAGCCCGGGGCUCAACCCCGGGUCUGCAGUGGGUACGGGCAGACUAGAGUGCAGUAGGGGAGACUGGAAUUCCUGGUGUAGCGGUGAAAUGCGCAGAUAUCAGGAGGAACACCGAUGGCGAAGGCAGGUCUCUGGGCUGUUACUGACGCUGAGGAGCGAAAGCAUGGGGAGCGAACAGGAUUAGAUACCCUGGUAGUCCAUGCCGUAAACGUUGGGCACUAGGUGUGGGGGACAUUCCACGUUCUCCGCGCCGUAGCUAACGCAUUAAGUGCCCCGCCUGGGGGAGUACGGA